UUGAAAGGGAAACGAUUGAAGUCAGUCAUACCAACGGGAAAUCAACCUUUUGAGCUCGGUCUCGUGGGUUUUGAAGAGUUUCAAAGCCUUCGGAUUCGCGGGAUUGGGAUCUCUUGGCGUACUUUUUCGUACGGUUAGUCAACAUCGGUUUUGAAUGUCAUAAAAUGACUGGAGGAAUGUAGCUUCGAUCUCGUAUUGAAGUGUUAUAGCCUUUGGUAGAUGUGAUGUUUGAGACCGAGGAUUGCAACGGAUACCCUUCAGGGCUAUUCGUCUGAUCUCUGAUACGUUGCCUUGAUGUUGAAAGCUUGCUUAUGAUGUUAGGGUAUUACGGUCAAAAGGUUAGAACGAAUUACAUUCGUUAAGGAUGUUGACGUA
rnacentral:rRNA from 1 species